UAGGGAAUCUUCGGCAAUGGACGAAAGCCUGACCGAGCAACGCCGCGUGAGUGAAGAAGGUUUUCGGAUCGUAAAACUCUGUUGGUAGAGAAGAACGUUGGUGAGAGUGGAAAACUCAUCAAGUGACGGUAACUACCCAGAAAGGGACGGCUAACUACGUGCCAA
rnacentral:rRNA from 1 species